GAUGAAGAACGUAGCGAAAUGCGAUAAGUAAUGUGAAUUGUAGAAUUCAGUGAAUCAUCGAAUCUUUGAACGCACAUUGCGCCCGCCAGCAUUCUGGCGGGCAUGCCUGUUCGAGCGUCAUUUCAACCCUCGCAGCCCAUCUGGGCAGCGGUGUUGGGGACCGGCACCACCGGCGAAGCCCUUAGGGGCCCAGCCGGCGCCGCCCCCGAAAUACAGUGGCGGUCUCGCUGCAGCCUCCCUUGCGUAGUAGCACACCUCGCACCGGAGCGCAGCGCGGCCACGCCGUAAAACCCCCGACUUUCUGAGUUUGACCUCGAAUCAGGAAGGAAUACCCGCUGAACUUAAGCAUAUCAAUAAGCGGAGGA
rnacentral:misc_RNA from 1 species